GGCCGCAAGGACUGAAACUUCAAUGGAAUUGGACGGGGGGCCGGACCAGCCGGGUGGGAGCCAUGGUGGGUUUAAUUCGAUGCAACGGCGAAGAACCUUACCUACUCUUGACAUCCCUAUAACUUACCUAAAAAGAUUAGGUGCCUUCCGGGAACUCUAGAGACAGGUGCUGCAUGGCUGUCGUCAGCUCGUGUUGUGAAAAGGUGGGUUAAGUCCCCGCAACGAGCGCAACCCUUAUCCUUUGUUGCCAGCGUUUAGGUCGGGCAACUCAAAGGAGACUGCCAGUGAUAAACUGGAGGAAGGGGGGGAUGACGUCAAGUCAUCAUGCCCCCUUACGACUAGGGCUACACACGUGCUACAAUGGACGCAUACAAAGAGAAGCGACCUCGCGAGAGCAAGCGGACCUCAUAAAGUGCGUCUCAAGUCCGGAUUGGAGUCUGCAACUCGACUCCAUGAAGUCGGAAUCGCUAGUAAUCGCGGAUCAGAAUGCCGCGGUGAAUACGUUCCCGGGCCUUGUACACACCGCCCGUCACACCAUGGGAGUGGGUUGCACCAGAAGUAGGUAACUUAACCUUCUAGGAGGGCGCUUACCACUUUGGGAUUCAUGACUGGGGGGAAGUCCUAACAAGGUAACCGGCCGGUGGGCUCCCACGGUUUUUCACCUGAAAGCCGUUUUUGUCCAGGGGGUCCCCUUCCCCCGGG
rnacentral:rRNA from 1 species